CAAAGAGGUCCGGCCACCGAGCGCGCUACAUCAGAAUGUUAACAUUCUGAGUGCAUUAGUGGUGAACAUGUAUAAUGCACUCAUACAUAUAAGUAUCGCUUUUCCAAUUCUUUUGAUUAGUACCUUUAUUAAUAUCUCACUUUCACUUUUUAUAGUUCAUUUAUAACGGAGGUGCAAACCAAGGAGUCGUUUGUAAAUACCUGAAACCACAAAAAUCAGUGAUUAGUUCAAGCGAAGUUGAGUGGAUCAUUGAUGAGAAGACAGGAUGGUCAGCGUGCUCUGAGGAUUGCGCUGGAGGAAAGAAAACGCGACUGAUAAAGUGUAAACGAAAGGAUGAUCAAUCAAUAGUUGCAGACAGGAUUUGUGAAAAAGGAUCCAAGAAACCUCAAUAUGAGAUGCCUUGUAAUAUCCAUCCCUGUACAGCAGAAUGGCACCUGUCUGGAUGGAGCUCUUGUUCAAAGACAUGCGGACGUGGUGUAAUGACGCGCAAACUGUCCUGCAGAACGAAAGUCAGUCAAAACCCAGAAGAAUAUAAAACCGUGAAGGAUAUCAGCUGCAAGGGACCAAAGCCAAAGGUGCUCCAGAGAGCUUGCUAUAAAGUAGCCUGCCCCGCUGAAUGGGUUCCUUCUCCCUGGGGAAAGGUAAAGAAGAAUUUGGCGUAACAUUUUACAUCAACUGCUUUAAGUGGUGUUAUACCUAUGAUUAUUCAUAUAUGAAAACAUAUAUAACAAGUUAUAUUGCUUCAAGAUUCACACUGUUCGAACAACAAUAGGUCAUCGAAUU